GACGAACGCUGGCGGCGCGCUUAACACAUGCAAGUCGAGCGAUAACCACAGCUUCGGCUGUGGGGAGAGCGGCGAACGGGUGAGUAACACGUGGGUAAUCUGCCCUCGGCACUGGGAUAGCCCGGGGAAACCCGGAUUAAUACCGGAUAGCCUCUCGAGCUUUCGGGCUCGUGAGAAAAGAUGGCUUCGGCUUUCGGCUGAGGAGGAGCCUGCGGCGGAUUAGCUUGUUGGUGAGGUAACGGCCCACCAAGGCGACGAUCCGUAGCUGGUCUGAGAGGACGAUCAGCCACACUGGGACUGAGACACGGCCCAGACUCCUACGGGAGGCAGCAGUGGGGAAUCUUGCGCAAUGGGCGAAAGCCUGACGCAGCGACGCCGCGUGAGGGAAGAAGGCCUUCGGGUUGUAAACCUCUUUCAGGAGGGACGAAGCCACUCGGGUUAAUAGCCCAGAGGGUGACGGUACCUCCAGAAGAAGCCCCGGCUAACUACGUGCCAGCAGCCGCAGUAAUAC
rnacentral:rRNA from 1 species